rnacentral:rRNA from 1 species
UACGGGGGGGGCAAGCGUUGUUCGGAAUUACUGGGCGUAAAGGGCUAGUAGGCGGCCAACUAAGUCGGAUGUGAAAUCCCCAGGCUCAACCUGGGAACUGCAUCCGAUACUGGAUGGCUUGAAUCCGGGAGAGGGAUGCAGAAUUCCAGGUGUAGCGGUGAAAUGCGUAGAUAUCUGGAGGAAUACCGGUGGCGAAGGCGGCAUCCUGGACCGGCAUUGACGCUGAAUAGCGAAAGCCAGGGGAGCAAACGGG